rnacentral:tRNA from 1 species
GUGGUGCAGCUCAGCGGUAGAGUGCGUGCCCUGUGUGCAUGAGGUCCUGGGUUCAAUUCCAGCACCACA